GGAAGGAUCAUUAACACGUACCCCUUUCUAUAAACCACUUUACUCGUUCGUUUUGGCCUCUCGGGGUCAGAGCGGAUGGUGAACUAUGAAGGCUUUCUUCCGGCGCUUCGGCGUUGGCCCUGUCUAAGAUGGAUAGAUGCUAUCAGGGAGCGGGAAGCCGGCUGGCAGUGCUAUCUCAGGUGCGCUGUCGGCUAAAUUAGCGUUUGUCUACCAAUUAACCACAACAUACCCUUUUGACAGAAACUUUUUUUCUUAUUGGCCUCGGCCGAUUUGGAAAUCUUAAAAAUCUAUACAACUUUUAGCAAUGGAUGUCUAGGUUCUCGCAACGAUGAAGAACGCAGCGAAAUGCGAUACGUAAUGUGAAUUGCAGAAUUCCGUGAAUCAUCGAAUCUUUGAACGCAAAUUGCGCUUCCGGGUAGCCCUGGGAGCAUGCCUUUUUGAGUAUCGGUUACAACCAAUCUCCUAAUCUUCUUGAUUAUGGCGGUGCAUAAGCAACUUGAGCGCUCGGCUUGCUAACGCGAAUCGUCGCUUUAAAUGGAUAUUGCCUCGCAAGAGGUACCUGCGUGUGGCUUGGCGAAUCUUGUCUCGGACGUUUGAUUCUCUGACGCUGCCUUGCUGGCUGAUAGCCCUCGUGGUUAUUGGCUGGGCUGGCCUGACGGCGGAUAAGUGUGCGUGUGCGCAAGCACCGCGCUCUAUUAAUAUCUUCCGGCAUGUGCUAGUGCGGUGUUCAGGUGGCUUACUGAAAGGGCUUGUAUUUGUCUCGUCAUCGAAAACAGGCAGCCAAAGCUGUAGUUGCGCUCUUGAUAGCGUGGCCGGCACAUGGCAAAACCGAUUAGGCUUCGGCCUGAUCAAAUCUACCAAUCUGAUCUCAAAUGAGGUAAGAGGACCCCCUGAACUUAAGCAUAUUACUAAGGGGAGGAAAAGAAACUAACAAGGAUUCCCUCAGUAACGGCGAGUGAAGCGGGAAGAGCUCAACUUGAAAAUCGGGCGGCGUAUGCCGUUCGAAUUGUAGUCUAGAGAGGCAUGGUCAGCAGCUGCCUAGGCCUAAGUCCUUUGGAACAAGGCGUCAGAGAGGGUGAGAGCCCCGUAUUAGGUCUGGGAUUAGUUGCGUACGAUCUGCUUUCAACGAGUCGGGUUGCUUGGGACUGCAGCCCUAAGUGGGUGGUAAAUUUCACCUAAAGCUAAAUACAUGCGAGAGACCGAUAGCGAACAAGUACCGUGAGGGAAAGAUGAAAAGAACUUUGAAAAGAGAGUUAAAAAGUGCCUGAAAUUGCUAAAAGGGAAGCGAUGGAAAUCAGUCGUGUGCGCGGCAAAUUUCCCUAUGACUGUGGAUGCUGAAUUAUAGUGACCGUAAGGCGCUGUGGUACAGUUGAAGCGUGUUGUGGGUUCCUUUUGUCGUGCUAGUGUCAGGGUCAGUUCGGCUCGCAGCAGAACCGCUAAGGGAAGGUAGGUUGAAUCGUCCUCGCGGCGUGAAAACUUUUAUAGCCUUUAGUGUGGCGCUAGUGGGCUGGACUGAGGCUACUCAACCGUAGUUAACACGCGCUUUACUGCGGGUUCUCCUUGUCCCGGUUGAAAUUCAGGCUAAGAGUACAUUGUACUGUUGGCUUGGACGAUGCUGAUGAUGAGGGUAGGACACCUGCGUGUUCGCGAUCCUGGCGAAAUGGUUUUCUUCGACCCGUCUUGAAACACGGACCAAGGAGUCUAACAUAUAUGCGAGUAUUUGGGUGGCAAACCCUGAUGCGCAAUGAAAGUAAAGGCGAAAGCUGAGGUGCGAGCGUCGCAAGGCGUGCAGCAUCGACCGAUCAGUCACUUGUGAAAGAUUUGAGUAAGAGCAUAUCUGUUAGGACCCGAAAGAUGGUGAACUUUGCCUGGACAGGGCGAAGCCAGGGGAAACUCUGGUGGAGGCUCGUAGCGAUACUGACGUGCAAAUCGUUCGUCUAAUCUGGGUAAAGGGGCGAAAGACUAAUCGAACCAUCUAGUAGCUGGUUCCCUC
rnacentral:misc_RNA from 1 species